AGCCCCACCCACCCCCCACCCCCGAACCCUCGCCCUCCUCACCCCGCGCACCCCCUCCACCUCGCCGCCGCCGCCGACUCGCCGGGGCUCGCCGCCACCGGUGGUGGGGGGGAGCUCGACCUCCUCGCCCCACGCGCGCAUCCGGACGCCGUCGUUCUGGGCGCGGGAGAGAUCCGUCCGUCGCCCCCCGCUGGGCUUGCGCCAUCCUCUCGCCGGUUCACUGGGUUAAUGUGAGCUUCUUGAUAAAAUAUGGCGGAUAAUGGUAAUGCAAAGCCAGGUGGUGGGGGAUCUGGAGCUUAUACAAUCAACCUAGAUAACUUCAGUAAGCGGCUGAAGGUGUUCUAUGACCAUUGGAAAGAGCAUAAUUCUGAUCUAUGGGGUUCUUCUAACGCUAUUGCAAUUGCUACUCCACCUCCGUCUGAAGAUCUUCGUUAUUUGAAGUCGUCAGCUCUGGACGUCUGGCUACUUGGAUAUGAAUUUCCAGAAACCAUAAUUGUCUUCAUGCACAAGCAAAUACAUUUCUUAUGCAGUCAAAAGAAAGCAAAUCUCAUUGGCACCCUCAAGAAGGCUUCAAAUGAUGCUGUUGGUGCUGAUAUUGUCUUGCACGUGAAAGCUAAGAAUGACAGUGGUGUUGGCUUAAUGGAGGACAUAGUGCGUGCUGUCUGUGCUCAGUCAAAAUCAGAUGACCCAAUUGUUGGUCACAUCGCAAAAGAGGCACCUGAGGGUAAGCUCCUUGAAGCUUGGGCAGACAAAUUGUCUAGCUCAUCUGUGCAACUUACAGAUAUAACGAAUGGCUUCUCUGAGCUUUUUGCUAUGAAGGAUACCUCAGAGAUCACAUGUGAAGAAGGCCUCCUACCUAACCUCAUCUGUAAUGAAAAAUUUUGUGGUUCCGAAGCUAGAGAAGGUGAUUGAUGAAGAGAGGAAAGUGACACACUCUUCAUUGAUGGAUGAGACAGAAAAGGCUAUUCUUGAUCCUCUUAAGGUCAAAGUGAAGUUGAAGGCUGAAAAUGUUGACAUAUGCUAUCCUCCUGUAUUUCAAAGUGGAGGGAAGUUUGACCUCAAGCCAGGUGCCUCAAGCAAUGAUGAUUAUCUUUACUAUGACUCUGCAAGUGUUAUCAUAUGUGCAAUUGGGGCCAGAUAUGGAAAUUAUUGCUCCAAUAUGGCCAGAACAUUUCUGAUAGAUGCUACUCCUGCACAGAGCAAGGCGUAUGAAACUCUUAUGAAAGCUCAUGAAGCUGCUCUAGAAGCAUUGAAGCCAGGGAAUCGGAUGAGUGCGGUUUAUCAGGCUGCAGUUGACGUUAUUGAGAAGAAUGCCCCUGAACUACUCCCUAAUCUAACGAAGUCUGCUGGUACAGGAAUUGGUCUUGAAUUCCGAGAGUCUGGCUUAAACUUGAAUCCCAAGAAUGACCGUAUCAUAAAAGCAGGAAUGGUUUUCAAUGUCUCCCUUGGUUUGCUUAAUCUUCAAGCAGAAACAAAGAGUGAGAAGACAAAACAAUACUCUCUUUUGUUGGCUGAUACAUGUUUAGUGCCAUUGGAGAACUUAACAGCAUCAUGCUCCAAGCUUCUUAAGGAUGUUGCUUAUUCGUUUAAUGACGAGGAUGAAGUUCUUCCUGUCAAAAAGGUGGAGGUUAAUGCAAAGGAGGCAUUGCCACCAACAAAGGCCACACUUAGGUCAGACAACCAGGAGAUGUCCAAGGAAGAGCUCCGGAGACAACACCAGGCUGAACUUGCUCGCCAAAAGAAUGAAGAGACUGCUAGAAGGCUUGCUGGGGUUGGCUCUGGUUCUGGUGAUGGGCGUGGUCCCUCAAGGUCAUCAAAUGAGCUUGUUGCAUAUAAGAAUGUUAAUGAUGUUCCAUAUGCAAGAGAGUUGGUCAUACAAGUAGAUCAGAAGAAUGAAGCUGUCCUCUUACCUAUUCAUGGCAGCAUGGUUCCUUUCCAUGUUUCUACUGUUAAGAGUGUCACAAGUCACCAAGACAACCGCACUUGCACUAUCCGCAUCUUCUUCAAUGUGCCUGGCAUGCCAUUCUCAAACGAUAGCAAUCUGAAGUCGCAAGGGGCUAUCUACUUGAAGGAGAUCACGUUCCGCUCGAAAGAUCCACGACAUAGCAGUGAAGUUGUUCCGCAAAUCAAAACGUUGAGGCGGCAAGUUGCUUCAAGGGAGUCAGAGAGAGCUGAAAGAGCCACCCUUGUUACUCAGGAGAAACUCCAGUUGGCAAGCAACAGAAACAAGCCAGUGAGACUUUCUGAUGUGUGGAUAAGGCCUGCAUUUGGUGGACGUGGGCGGAAGCUUACAGGAACUCUUGAGUCCCAUGUCAAUGGUUUUAGAUAUUCUACUUCAAGGGCUGAUGAGCGUGUGGAUAUCAUGUAUGGGAAUGUAAAGCAUGCCUUCUUCCAGCCAGCAGAAAAAGAAAUUAUUACACUCCUUCAUUUCCAUUUGCACAAUCAUAUUAUGGUUGGAAACAAGAAGACAAAGGAUGUUCAAUUUUAUGUUGAGGUGAUGGAUGUUGUUCAGACUCUUGGUGGGAAUAGGAGAUCAGCUCUUGAUCCUGAUGAAAUUGAAGAAGAGCAGCGUGAGAGGGACCGAAAGAAUAGAAUAAACAUGGAUUUCCAGAACUUUGUGAACAAGGUUAAUGAUCACUGGUCGCAGCCACAAUUCAAGGGGCUGGAUCUUGAGUUUGAUGUCCCUCUUAGAGAGCUUGGAUUCCAUGGUGUUCCAUAUAAAGCUUCAGCUUUCAUCAUUCCAACUUCGACUUGUUUGGUUGAACUAAUAGAGACACCCUCUCCCCCCCCCCCCUCUGCGAGGAUCCUCCGUCGAGCAUCUCUCGGCGCACGAGCUGAAGCUGGUGACCACCGGCGGCGCGCCGUUCUGCUGCGACGGCUGCAUGCAGCCCGGCGACGACGGCGCCGGCUACCGGUGCGGCGGUGCGACGUCUGCCACUUCGACCUGCGCACGUGCUGCGCGCUCCCGCCGGCCACCCUGGAGAACGACAUGUUCGAGGUCAGCGCGUUCGCGUUCCUCGCCGAGCCGCCGGCGGCGCCCGCCGCCGCGGGCGGCAGGAUCUGCGACGCCUGCGGCGACGGCGUGCGCGGCUUCGUCUACCACUCCGACGACCCCCGACCUCGACCUCCACCCAUGCUGCGCGUUCCUGCGCAGGCGCGUCGUGGUGCAGGACGGCCGCCACUUCGAGCUCCGCAAGCGCGCGCAGCCGCGCCGGCCUGUGCGGCGAGAGGAGCGGCCGCCGCCGCAACUUCUGGGCGUACCGGACCUACGACGACGACGGCGAACCCGUGUACCUGCACAUCGCGUGCGUCAAGGACGGACACCGCGGGCGGUGCGCGGCGGCGGUGUGGCGGCGAGAUCGUGCUGGUGAGCUCGUCGCCGGCGAUGGACGGCGUGCUGCAGAGCGUGCCCCGGAGGAGGACGCCGCGGAGCGGCGGGUUCGAGAGGUUUUGCAAGAUUGUUAACGUCGUCGUGAGCGUCAUCAUCGCGGUCAUAUUCGGGAGUCCCAUGGCGAUGAUAAGCGCGGUUGCAGGGCCCGAUGGUCUCCUCCGUGGGUAGGGAGAUAGUGCGAAAAUAAUCAAAAUGAUAUCCGUUGUGAAUUAGUGCAAAACACAUUCAUAUUCAACUCAAAUUGGGACGAUCCGACGAUGAGAAAUUUGAAAAAUAAAUAGCAAUGGAUAUGUGACGCGAUAUUCUGCCUAA